UACGUAGGGUGCGAGCGUUAAUCGGAAUUAUUGGGCGUAAAGCGCACGUAGGCGGCAUUGCAAGUCGGAUGUGAAAUCCCUCGGCUUAACCAAGGAAGUGCAUCCGAAACUGCAGUGCUUGAGUACUUAAGAGGAUCGCGGAAUUCCCGGUGUAGAGGUGAAAUUCGUAGAUAUCGGGAGGAACACCAGUGGCGAAGGCGGCGAUCUGGGAAGAUACUGACGCUGAGGUGCGAAAGCGUGGGGAGCAAACAGG
rnacentral:rRNA from 1 species